AGUACCUGUUAUGCUUUUCCACAGCCCUCUCCUUAUCAUCCCUGCAUCUCACACAUGUGAUUGAAAAAGGUUCAUCCAGCGCUGUACCAUGUGGAUGAGGAGCCUUGCCUACCUGAUACAACUGUGAGAAUUAGCAGUUCUGUAGUUGAGCCAUUUCUUUAUCAAGCACCACGAGGACCAGAAUAGCAACUGAGGUUAAUGCCCUGCAAGGAAGGAAAAUGAAGAAACCACGUGUCGAGCAGAGGACAACAGAGAGUGUUUAUUACAGCAAGAUGGGCACGGUCACACAAUUGUCCAUGACUGGCAAAGCCUAAUGCAUGAGUCAUGCAAGCUUGGUCACACAAGUAACAAUAGGAAACUUUAUGGGGCUUUACAACUAUUACGAGGUUAUUGCAUGUAUGUUCUCUCUAAUACACAUGCUGUGUUUGAUUUUCAUCUUUGCUUUAGUGUUUGAUUCAAUGCUUUUUCUCCUUGCUGAGAAGUUCCUGCUGAAGGUAAUUCCCCGGUAUGGAUGGCUUCUCUCAGUAACCAACGGUGUUUGUUAAAGACAGGCUCUAUCCCUGCAGGCUUUGCUUUUAAUAGAAAGCAAGGCAUCAUUAUGUUGUAUAAUGGCUUGAAAUGUG